GGCUGAGUGGAGAAGCUGGUUUUCUUGCCGCUCCCAUAAAGCGGAGACGCUGGUUCAAGUCCAGCCUCAGCCA
rnacentral:tRNA from 1 species